AUGGCUUCGAGGUUAGCGUUGCAGUUAUCUAAGGAUCUCAAAGAAUUGAGGUUGCAUUUAUGCCAAACAUCCGCAGCUAGUAGAGGAGUAAGGCAGCUCCAGGAAAGAAGAUAUUUGUGUUGAACCAGUGUUAAGUGAGCACAGCUUCUAUAUUACAAAAAUAUAGAAUCAAUCUCCGGUUAUAAUUACAGGAAACAAGUCAGACUUAUAAGUGAAGGGACUUCAUUGAGACAUACUAUGUUAAUUUAAAACGUUCAAACCCUAAAUUUCCCAUCUUGAUUCGGGAAUGCAGCGGAGUUCAGCCUCGACUGUAUGCCAGAUAUGAUGAUGAAUAUAAAAGUUGAGGAAUUUGCUGAUAC